GAAGCUACUGCCAGGAAGAGAGAGGAAAUGGAGAUUAUCUGGGGGAGUGGGCACCACAGUGGCGUGGAAGCCACUGCCAGGAAGAGAGAGCAAGAGAAAUGGAGAUGCAGUGGGGGGUCGUGGGUUCCCGUUCUCCAUGACGGAAAGCCCGCACUUUGAGCCUCCAAACCUGCUCCGAUCUGUAUCAAAUUUUGAGAGGGAGUUCAAUUCGUCGAGAUGAGCAUCACUGCGGAGUCGGAUUCCGAAUCCAAUGGCUGGAUUUUCGGAUUUUGGUGAGCAUUUAUUGCAAAAAAUCAUCUUCCAAGGCUAAACACUAAUGCUAUCAAGAACGCUGGACCAACCAUUUGAAGAAUAGGCUUGCGAUUACAAGGUACUUUUGAGCAACACCUUCUCUACCAUGAGCGGGACCUUCCCACGGAUGAUGAGAUUGGUGAUCACUCUCACUAUCCUUAGGACUUCGGGAUCAAAGAAGCAAACUUGGCCAUCAAAGCCUCAAGGUGUCUCUCAAGGUAGAGAAGGUGUCACUUAAAGGUCACUUGUAGUCGCAGACCUCUUCUUCAAGUGGUUGUUCCAGCGUUCUUGAUAACAUUAGCAGAUCGGUCAGGAAUAUGAUAUUUUGCCACACAGGAAGUCU